rnacentral:rRNA from 1 species
AUUGAAGAGUUUGAUCAUGGCUCAGAUUGAACGCUGGCGGCAGGCUUAACACAUGCAAGUCGAACGGUAACAGGAAGCAGCUUGCUGCUUUGCUGACGAGUGGCGGACGGGUGAGUAAUGUCUGGGAAACUGCCUGAUGGAGGGGGAUAACUACUGGAAACGGUGGCUAAUACCGCAUAACGUCGCAAGACCAAAGAGGGGGACCUUCGGGCCUCUUGCCAUCAGAUGUGCCCAGAUGGGAUUAGCUUGUUGGUGAGGUAACGGCUCACCAAGGCGACGAUCCCUAGCUGGUCUGAGAGGAUGACCAGCCACACUGGAACUGAGACACGGUCCAGACUCCUACGGGAGGCAGCAGUGGGGAAUAUUGCACAAUGGGCGCAAGCCUGAUGCAGCCAUGCCGCGUGUAUGAAGAAGGCCUUCGGGUUGUAAAGUACUUUCAGCGGGGAGGAAGGUGUUGUGGUUAAUAACCACAGCAAUUGACGUUACCCGCAGAAGAAGCACCGGCUAACUCCGUGCCAGCAGCCGCGGUAAUACGGAGGGUGCAAGCGUUAAUCGGAAUUACUGGGCGUAAAGCGCACGCAGGCGGUCUGUCAAGUCGGAUGUGAAAUCCCCGGGCUCAACCUGGGAACUGCAUUCGAAACUGGCAGGCUUGAGUCUUGUAGAGGGGGGUAGAAUUCCAGGUGUAGCGGUGAAAUGCGUAGAGAUCUGGAGGAAUACCGGUGGCGAAGGCGGCCCCCUGGACAAAGACUGACGCUCAGGUGCGAAAGCGUGGGGAGCAAACAGGAUUAGAUACCCUGGUAGUCCACGCCGUAAACGAUGUCUACUUGGAGGUUGUGCCCUUGAGGCGUGGCUUCCGGAGCUAACGCGUUAAGUAGACCGCCUGGGGAGUACGGCCGCAAGGUUAAAACUCAAAUGAAUUGACGGGGGCCCGCACAAGCGGUGGAGCAUGUGGUUUAAUUCGAUGCAACGCGAAGAACCUUAC